CUGGGCCCCUUCCUGGCCGGGUGCAGCUAUAGGCACCCCUCCCAGGCGCCCAAAGUUCAGACAGCAGUGACUUGACAUCCAAAGGCCAGUCAGAACUGCUCAGGGCACACUGCUGAAAUGACAUUUUGAGUCUAUGCCUUCCAUUCAUGCCUUUUGUACCCACGGAUUUCAUUUUUCACAGACAAAUAUAAAUAUCACUUGGAACAAAGCAAGGAUAAUCCCCAAAUUUUACUCCAUAUAACAACACCUUUUCCUAAAAUCCCAUUGUCUAUUCCAGUGACAUCUGUCCUGCGACUUUGAUAAUGUAUAUUAACUCGUUUUGAAUUUAUUGUCAGUUGCUGUACUGGUCCCUUGUAUUUGUUUAAUUUCCUAAUAAUUAUUAAGUCUUCAUAAAAGAUAACCAAGGCCCAAAGAAGUAGGAAUAAUUUCCCCCAAAGAGAAUCGAGUCAUCUCUAGCCACAAAGCUGCUUUAGCCUUAGAGAUGAAAAAAAUCACUUCUCUUCGAAGAAAAUUUCGUUUUAAUAUUUUUAUUAACUAAAUUACAUUCUGAAUUUCUUUCAAAAAGACAUUUUAUCCUUCACUUGAGCUUGGUUUUAUGUUACGAACGGGAGCCCUGUUAGAGUUCAAAAGGAAAAUCCAUACUGAAUACUUGUUUUUAAUGAGCCGAGCAUUGUCUACAAUGAUGAAGAGGAAAUGGGAAAAAAUGCUGGGGCUUUAAAUUUAAACUGAUAAAGGUAGUCUUCUCUCUCUGCUUGCUUAUUGGCUGUUCCUCCCACAGAUCUUUUUCAGGGAGCUUGAGCAGGGUCAGAACCCUUUUCUGGUUCUCUGAGUGGAAGAUUUUAUGGGGGUGGGUUGGAGGCCUUGAGAAAUUUACCCAGAGUGCAUUGGUGGGUUAAAGAGAAGCACAAGUUAGUAUAUACUCAAGGGACAACAGCAACAAGGAGACCUCAUUCAUUUUACUGUCUCCAAUUCAUAGCUCAAAGUGGUCUGUUGUUGUUUGUUUGAUUUUGGUGUAACUUGGCUCCAAAUGACAAAGCUGCUAUUCAAAUAAGUCACAAUCUAUACUUUUAGCCUCUACAAUGCAUUCAGUAGUUGUGCUUGUCACGAAAGCAGUCAUUCUUUCUGAUACACUAUGCAUGCUGGUGGUUCAAAUAAGUGACAAUAACAAUGAGUCCCUUAGUUCUGAAUCCUCCAUGAAUACAGCAAAUGCUGUGUUGGAACUCAGAAGGGACUGACUACAGUAGCAGUCUCCUCAAAAGCUAGGGAGCACCCAUUUCUUUUUGGUACAGGACUUCAUAUGUUGCUUUUAUCUCUUAAAAGGGUGGAAAAGAUUCAUAUUUAAAUCCAUUUGAUAGUCUAACAAAUUAUUGGGGGAAAAGAGGCAGUCUGUUUCCUAGCUGUCUUCUUUUAAUAACGACCCAAUAUCAGCCUUUCCUCUCGAGUUCAGCAUCCCCUCAACUUAAGUCCUCCUUCCAUUCUCCUUACAAAAGGGGUUCUAGAUCUGCAGGUAAGCAGGUAGACAAUAGGCUCAGGCAGAAUCCCUUUUCCAGUUGUGUGGGGAAACCACAGGAAGACCAAGCUACUCAUCCUUGCUGUCUUCCAAGGUAAACAUUUCAGCCCACUAACCUCAGAGUCAAGGGUAUUUUUCUCCCUCACAACUUCUUAUCCAUAUAUACAAAUACAUUCCUAAGAAUACAUUUGCAGCUGUCUCUCAGAAACCUCUGAAUUAUUCAUAAAGUACUAAUUAUUCAGCUUCUUAAUCAAUCACUAUGCGUAUACUGCACAGUUGCCUUCCAGAAGUGAAAUAAAUCGACCUGUGCUCAGUCCACAACUGAGAGUUUGAACAGUAAUCCCAAGUCUUCAGGUCACUGUUACCAAAUAAGGCAGUUUAUGUUGUUCACUCAACAAAGCUAUGUCUAGCUUCUGUUAAACAACCGUAUAAUUAUCCACAAGUCACCUACACUGUGGUAGUAAGUGUAUAUUUAAACACGACGCGUGUCAUUUUUAAAUGGACUUUUAUUAUAUAAGUUUAGUUGAGAAGUAAAUCUUUCUAUUGCCACUGUAAAUGGAACCCAAAAAGAAAUGACAAUCCUAUAAGUUGAAUUCAUAAUAGAGAAAUAGUAUUGUUCCCUAUAUCACCUAUGAUCAUCUCAGAGCCGUUUAAGAAACAAUGAUUUAGAGCUCUCAAUCCCAGAUUUCCCAAAAUAUAUUUUUAAACAUUCUUUUCCUACCACUCUAGAGAGAUGUUGAAAUAGGUCUAAUUAAAUUCUGAAUGUUUUUAUUUUGAAAUUUUAUGUUUAGUGUGUGUGUGUGUGUGUGUGUGUGUGUGUGUGUGUGUGUCAGUGUGAGGAUGAGGGGCAGGAGGUUGGGGGUGGGGAACAUGUGGGAUUCAGUUCUCUUGUUCACCCUGUCAGACCUGAGGAUUAAACUCAGGCUUUCGGGUUAGCAGCAAGUACAUUUAUCAGCCCCCUCACCAGCUCUACAAGUUACUUCAGAUACUGUUCCUUAGUCUAGUAUUAUCUUCCUUCUUAAAAUAUAUUUGAGGUCUCUAAAGUUGAACGGUUCUUUUAGAAUUGUAAUUGCUCCAGGGUUUUAUAGCUGUUUGACUUGGGUGGGGGGAACACAAUCUAUAAAUGAGUAGUGAAAAAGGAAGACUGUCCUAUAAGACAGUACCAGUUUCUAGUUAUUUACUUCUCCUGUUUUCCUUUCUGCCCCUUUCUCUUUUCAUCUGAGGCCUUAUAACACCAUGGCAGCAAUACUGACUGGCCCAGAAGGUUGGUGCCACCAAGUUCUAGAUGACAGGGAGCAAGGCAGGAAGAUCAGAAGACAAGAGACACCCAAAGAACCCAAAAGAAAACAUGGAGAAGUCCCAAAGUCAGACACCUGCCACAGAACUCAGGAAGAGUUCCAGAGAUCAUCAAGUCCUCCACAAUGCAAGGCACAGUACGCAAGGGCAAAAUCACCAGCCACAUCCUACCACUACACCCCAAAAGAAAAGAAAACAGAGGGCCGGGUAUUUGGAGAAAUAAUUCCACAGCAAGCCUCUGGAGCACCCUGGUUGUGCACCUUUGAACUGCGGCUGGAAGCAGGCUCAGGUCUUGAAAAACUACAGUCAGUCAAUUGUUUCUCCUGAACUCCUGAGCCAAAUCCUUUGAGCUUUGGAAGAAUGAAGUUUUAAAGGCCAGCCUCAACGGGAACAACGUUGACCACUGUCUACGAAUGACAGACUAUUAGAACAAAUGAGGAUAAACAGGAAUCUGAAGUUCUGUGCUGCUGGUUGCCCAAAACUGUGUAAAUAAACAACCUGAGUAAUUUUGUGCA